rnacentral:rRNA from 1 species
UACGUAGGGUGCAAGCGUUAAUCGGAAUUACUGGGCGUAAAGCGUGCGCAGGCGGCUUUUGCAAGACAGAUGUGAAAUCCCCGGGCUUAACCUGGGAACUGCAUUUGAGACUGCGUAGCUAGGGUGCGGAAGAGGGAAGCGGAAUUUCCGGUGUAGCGGUGAAAUGCGUAGAUAUCGGAAGGAACACCAGUGGCGAAAGCGGCUUCCUGGUCCAGCACCGACGUUCAGGCACGAAAGCGUGGGGAGCAAACAGG